UUACAUAUAAAAAUAUAUUUGUGAAUAUAAGAUAAUUAUUAUUGUGUGUUACUUCAUAGUUGUGCAAUAAAUUAAAAAAUAAAAAGAAAACGCUAAUUAAAGAUGGAAUAAGACUAAAAACUGUUUGAGCCCAACUGGCCCAGCUAUCUGUGACCGUCCGUCCAAAUCCAAUGGCUGUGAUCGCCAACCCUAACCCUAACCCCAUAUAAAAUCCUUUCACCCACUCCCCUCUCCUCCCAGCCGCCAUUUUCCUCUCCCUCUCCUCUCCUCUGCUCUCUUCUCCCUGAGCCCGUCUCCUCUCCCUCUCAUUUCCUUCUUCCAUAACCAGCUAACGGUGAAGACGCAUGGAGAUGCCGGUGCGGAGGCGGACGAGCACACGUGCAUCGUUGCAGUGGCACGGGGAGGGUCGGAUCCGCCGCCGGCCCUCUCCCACGCAGAUCCAGCGGUGUGUGGCGGCGUGGAGUGGAGCGGCAGCGUGGGAAGUGGCGGAUCCACCACCUCCGGCCUCUCCCCGCUCGCUGUGCCGACCUCCAGUGCGGUGGGGAGCGCCAUGGCCGAUGCCUUACUCGACACCAAGAGUAGGCCGCCAACGUACACGUCGCAGAUCCACACCAACAGUCGUGCUCGGGACAACGGCUUGGCCACGCGCAUGCGGACGCGGAGCAGCCGAUGCAGCCGCAAUCCCCACCCCAUAGGGGCUUUAAACAACAAAAGCACAAAAUGGGACUAAGCCCAAAUCCUGCACAACAAAACAUCUGCUGAGAGGCACGGGAGUGGUUUUCAGGUGGGCGCGUGGGACGGAGGUGAGAGAUGCUGGCACAUGUUGUAUCGUGUGGACAAAAAUUUGGCUGAUAAAUUUUUAAAAAUUUCAGCAGGCAGUCACAUAGACAGUCCCAAGAUAUUGUAUUCUUAGAAGCAAAAGGAUGACUUGCAGAUAGAUAUUUAAUAGGUUAUUGACUCCUCCGGAAACACCACUUUUUAUUUAACAGAUGAAGCAAAGGAAAGGUGCUGGCUAUUAGGCAUUAUGAUCUGCAAGUUUUUAACGUUUUGUCCAUCCAGAUUGAUGACCUUACCCAAAGAACCGGAGAACUUCCUCAAAGAAGAAGAGAAUUCUAGCUGUUAUUAAUAUUGGAUAUGUAAUGGGUUGUUUUGUGCUAGUUGGGCUGUAAAUAUUUAUGUUAUGUGGUCUGUAAUUACGUAUAAUUCUCAGUCUUUUGUGGGCUUCUGUAAUGGGCUUGGCCCACUCAUUAUUUCACACUAAUGAAAGAAUAUAUAAUAUAAUUGGGUUGAAUGUGUAUAUAAUAUAAUAUAAUGC